AGAGUUUGAUCAUGGCUCAGAACGAACGCUGGCGGCAGGCUUAACACAUGCAAGUCGAGCGCCCCGCAAGGGGAGCGGCGGACGGGUGAGUAACACGUGGGAAUAUGCCCUUCGGUACGGAACAACUCAGGGAAACUUGAGCUAAUACCGCAUACGCCGGCGACGGGAAAGAUUUAUCGCCGAGGGAUUAGCCCGCGUCC
rnacentral:rRNA from 1 species